rnacentral:tRNA from 1 species
UAAAAAAAAAAAAAAUGAAGUGCACUGAAUUUAGAAGUCAUGAAUGUAAUAAUAUUACAUAUAGUA